CUUCCCUCGCACCGCUCGGUUACCUCGCAGGCUUGCCAAGAGGCUGCAGUUUUCCAAAGGAGACCUGCUGCCAAGGGAAACUGACUUUGCUGCGAGGCUGCCUUUGAGAGGUCUUGAUCUGUCCCUCACCCGGCGUCUUGCCAGAGGUUUCCACUCCUCAGGGUGUGCGUAAAGUGGCCUUCAUGCUGCUCUUCUGUGACCGAGUAUGCCAAAGCCAUUGGUGAGGGAAAGCUGCCCCCAGACUCCAGGGCAUGAUUUUUGCAAGGUGCUUUGAUUUUUUUUUUUCAUAUCUCAACUGGAUUAGGCCUUGAGCAACCUGACCUGAAGUUGGUCCUUGAACUGAAGCUUGUACCUGAUAACCUCAGAAAAAAAUUGAAUGGACCUGGACCAAGUGUAGCAAAAUGAUAGAAUACCAUAUUUCCAUUCUUCUGCAUUCGGGAAUGGAGGCAAAUGUCCCUGAUUCCAGAAAAGAUUCAUCAGUUCCCAUGAUGUAGCUUCUUGUGAAAAAUGCAGGAGUAAACUUCUCUAAGCAGUUCAACAUUCAGCAUCUUGCGCAUGAUAGAUUUUUAUGAGCAAUGAAUAUAUAAUUUCUGUUUCAAUUA